rnacentral:rRNA from 1 species
AUUGAACGCUGGCGGCAGGCCUAACACAUGCAAGUCGAACGAGUGGCGGACGGGUGAGUAAUGUCUGGGAAACUGCCUGAUGGAGGGGGAUAACUACUGGAAACGGUAGCUAAUACCGCAUACCAUCGGAUGUGCCCCGAUGUGAUUAGCUAGUAGGUGGGGUAAAGGCUCACCUAGGCGACGAUCCCUAGCUUGUCUGAGAGGAUGACCAGACACACUGUAACUGGAGCACGGGCCAUGCGCCUACGGGAGGCGGCAGGGGGGAAUAGUGUGCAAUUGGCGCAAUCCUGAUGCAGCCAUGCCGCGUGUAUGAAGAAGGCGUGCGGGUUGUAAAGUCCUUUCAUCGGGGAGGCGUUACCCGCAGAAGAAGCACCGUCUAACUCCGUGCCAGCAGCCGCGGUAAUUC